UUGAGUUCUCUCUCAAAAAAUAUUCAUUGUUGUAAAUGUUCAGUUUAAAAUAAGAGCCGUUGUUUCAAAAGAAAUAUGCCUAAAUUGUCGACGUGUUUGGUAAAUGCCUGCGAGCAAGGAAAUAUUCAAAUCCUCCAGGCGUUGCCCAGAAAAAAUCGCGUUAAUUACUUCCCUUCGCGCUCUAUAAUUAAGGGUUCAAUAAUCAUACUUCUAUUCAAUAUGUGUUUACUUUAUUUCGGCUUUCUCGCUUAUAAGUAUCUAAACACUUUACAAGAUGAAGAGAAGCUUCAAAUAACCAACUAUUUAUGUAGCUUGGGUGCUUUAGUGGUUAUCAUCUCACUCCUCCGUAAUAGUGACAUGUCAAAGAAUAAUCCAUACUUCUACUACAUUUAGAUCGUAUUUGAGAAAGAAAAAGCGACAGUGUUUAAUAGAUAAUCCAAAUGUGCGUCAUCAUUUUAUUGGAAUUAUUUUAUCCUGCAAGUAUUGAACAGUAUUUACACAGGACUUUUCUAAGAGGAAUCCUUCUCAUAACUUAAAUUCAUGUACACAUAAUAUAUACUUCUACACGAUCUAAUUGUGUCAUUUCUACAGCAUCUAUCCAGAAGAAUCCUUACAGUAACAGUAAAAGUUAUAGAAAUAACGAAAACGCUGUCGUGUGUUAAAUAAACUUUUAAGUGUAUAUAAUUGCUUACAGCAUUGGAAGCUCUGGUUUCAGACGGGUCGGUUUUGUAGAACCCAAAAAAUAAAUAAU